rnacentral:rRNA from 1 species
UACGUAGGGGGCAAGCGUUGUCCGGAUUCAUUGGGCGUAAAGAGCUCGUAGGCGGCUUGGCAAGUCGGGUGUGAAAACUCCAGGCUCAACCUGGAGACGCCACCCGAUACUGCCAUGGCUAGAGUCCGGUAGGGGACCACGGAAUUCCUGGUGUAGCGGUGAAAUGCGCAGAUAUCGGGAAGAACACCCGUGGCGAAGGCGGCUCUCUGGGACGGUACUGACGCUGAGACGCGAAAGCGUGGGGAGCAAACAGG